rnacentral:rRNA from 1 species
AAGACCUUGCACUUUUGGAGCGGCCGAUGUCUGAUUAGCUAGUUGGUGGGGUAAUGGCCUACCAAAGCUUCGAUCAGUAGCUGGUCUGAGAGGACGGCCAGCCACACUGGGACUGAGACACGGCCCAGACUCCUACGGGAGGCAGCAGUGGGAAUUUUGGACAAUGGGCGCAAGCCUGAUCCAGCCAUGCCGCGUGAGUGAAGAAGGCCUUCGGGUUGUAAAGCUCUUUCAGCCGGGAAGAAAAGGUUGCGACUAAUAAUCGCAAUUCAUGACGGUACCGAAAGAAGAAGCACCGGCUAACUACGUGCCAGCAGCCGCGGUAAUACGUAGGGUGCGAGCGUUAAUCGGAAUUACUGGGCGUAAAGGGUGCGCAGGCGGUUUUGUAAGUCAGAUGUGAAAUCCCCGGGCUUAACCUGGGAACU